rnacentral:rRNA from 1 species
UACGUAGGCAGCGAGCGUUGUUCGGAAUUACUGGGCGUAAAGAGUGUGUAGGCGGUGCUCUAAGUUCGGUGUGAAAUCUCCCGCUUAACUGGGAGGGUGCGCCGGAAACUGGAGUGCUCGAGCGUGGGAGAGGAAAGCGGAAUUCCUGGUGUAGCGGUGAAAUGCGUAGAUAUCGGGAGGAACACCGAUGGCGAAGGCAGGUCUCUGGGCCGAUACUGACGCUGAGGAGCGAAAGCGUGGGGAGCGAACAGG